AAAGUCGUAACAAGGUUUCCGUAGGUGAACCUGCGGAAGGAUCAUUACUGAGUUCAUGCCCUUACGGGUAGAUCUCCCACCCUUGAAUAUCUAAACCUUUGUUGCUUUGGCGGGCCGCUUCGGCUACUGGCUCCGGCUGGUGAGUGCCUGCCAGAGAACCCUAAACUCUGAAUUACAGUGUCGUCUGAGUACUAUAAAAUAUUUAAAACUUUCAACAACGGAUCUCUUGGUUCUG
rnacentral:misc_RNA from 1 species